rnacentral:ncRNA from 1 species
CCGCGGGAGCCCGCGCACCGAGGCUGAGAGGGCGGCAGGACCGGCCGCCGACCGUUCGAACCUGAUCCGGUUGAGACCGGCGUAGGGAGG